CAUUAAGAAUGUAGUUUUUAUUUAUUCAGUUAAAAUAGUACUACUACAAAGUUUUAAGUAAUUUUAGAUAUUUUUUUUUCUAAAAAUGCAGUUUUGCUCUUUAGAUUGGCCUUACAUGGAGUAUACAUAAUUUAUGACAGAAAAGGUGGGUUGAGUCCAAAAAGGUUGAAGACCACUAAUCUAGACAAAACUUCCUUUCAAAAAUGGUGCCACACUUACAUACAGAAGUAUGGUAGACAUUUUUGUCACAGUAUAAAAAAAUUAAUAUUUCAAAACCAAUACAUUCUUCAUUACAAUCAGAAUCUAAAAACAGGUAUAAUAAUUACUUAUGGGAAACAAAAUUAAUUGGCCAAAAAUAUAACAAAUGUUAUUCUAUUUAAGUCUUUCUGUUAGACAUAAUA